rnacentral:lncRNA from 1 species
UCAAUUAGAAUACAUAGCAGCAGCAAGAAGCUGAUUAAGUACAUAAAAUAGACCUAGUAUAACAAUAUUUUUAGACAAGUAGUAGUGAUAACAGAGCUAAAUAGAGGCCUCAUCUAUCAGAGUAACUAUGACAAAAAGCAUCAUUUGGAUGUUGAUCCAUGGCUUACUUGAAUUACUCAUCAUUUAGGAUGAAUUGCUUCAUGCACCAAGUAAACAAAUUGAUUGAAGGAGAUCAAUAUGAAUUAUCAAGUAUGGCUUCUUGCAUGAAUUAUCAAGUAUGGCUUCUUCAAUCAAUUAUCAAGUAAACAAAUUGAUUGAAGGAGAUCAAUAAGAAGUAUGGCUUCUUGUAAAGAUCAUUAUCAAUGGAAGAGAACCCCUAAAAGAUAAUACAUAGCAAAAACAAGAAACUGACAAAAUGAAGCAUAAAAAUCACCUAGUGAAACUUCUUUAGAUAAGUAAUUGUGACAACAUAGUGCUAAUAGAGGCCUCAUCUAUCAGAGUAACUAUGACAAAAAAGCUUCAUUUGGAUGCUAAUCCAUGGCUUACUUGAAUUUCAUUUAGGAUGAAAUAUUUCAUGCAUAUAGUAAACAAAUUGAAUAUAAGGAGAGCAGUAAGAAGUAUAAACACUCCUAAGAUAAUACAUAACAUAAAACAAGAAGUAUGACAUCUUGUACCGAUAAUACAUAGCAGGAAAGAGAACCUGACAAAAUGAAGCAUAAAAUCAACUAGUGAAACUUCUUCUAAAGUAGUCUUGACAAUAGAGGUCAUCUAUCAGAGUAACUAUGACAAAAACUUCAUUUGGAUGUUAAUCCAUGGCUUACUUAAAUUACUCAUCAUCUAGGAUUUGAAUUCCUUCAUGCACAGAACAAAGACUAGAAGUAUUGAUUUAUUGUUUAGUUAAUGAGGUCAAUCACUAGUGUGCCCAAAAAAAACCUAGAUAGGACGGAAAAAACCUCAAAAAUUAGUGGUAUCCACAAAACAAGCAAUAACUGCAAAAUUUGCAUAAACUAUAAAAUGAUCUUACUCCCAAUAUGAUUUAUAAAUACACUGUCUUGCUCACAAAAGAUUUAUGAUUUGGCUUGUAUUCUAACACUAACUGUGGUGCUCCUGCAUAAAUUGAUGCAGUUGUAUUACAUCAUGUUAAAAAAUGAACAAUCAAAUUACAGUUUAAACUACAACAGGUCAGGUUGACGAAAUUAUGAACUUUCACCUAUAAGAAAACUAAGCAUAUCCGCAACAAAGUAACUCAAAAAUAUAUGUUAGUACUCAAAUGCCUAGAUUUCUAGACAAAGGAAUACAUAUCUGGGCACAGGCUUUGUAAUUACUAUACAGAGUUCAAAAACAAGGGAUGACAUUAAGGCACACUUAUCUCAGAGAAAGUGCUUCCCUAUUCAUUAUAAUUGAAAAAUAGGGUAGUUUUAAAUAUAAAAAAGGAACAUAUUUAUCAAAACAAAGAAACUCAAAAAUAGACGUUGACAUUCAUAGAGUUCUAGUCAAAAGAAAACAUUUUUAGGCACACUCGUAUGGAAAAAGCACCUCUAGGAACUCGGUAAGCUUAUACUGGGCAUGCUGUUUUUGUUGUUGGAAUAGGCUAUUCGCCUUCUCUCAGGAAAAAACCAAACUUAAAAAAAACAUUAUGGCUACAAGCAUCAGUUAGCCAACUUAUGAGACAGAAAAGGAAGACCAAAAAUGGAGCUUUCUCCUCCACUUCUCACGGACCCAUCUGCACACCAAGAUAGAGUCUUUUCUAGCUCAAUGAGAAUAUAUGUCUGUUUCAUCUUCCAAAGAAGACAAAAAACUUCAAUUCUUCAUUGAAGAUUAUUUGAAACGUAGGAAAUAGCAAACAAAAGAAACAGAGGGAGUAACAAACAAAAGGGUGUUUUUUGUAAUCAUUUGAGUGAUUAUGGGCAGCGGAGAAUGACAGAGAGCGGCAAAACCACCCAUUGGAACUCCCUAAAGCUCUCUGCUUUCACACAGCCUCAGACUUAAACUAAUAAGAUUAGGCUCAGAUUCGCCUUUUCUCAGACAACCAAAAAGCUUUAAAAAAAAAACCGUCAUUGCUGCAAUCAUCAGUUAGCCUUAUGAGACAGAAAAGAAUACUUUCUCCUCCACUUCUCACAGACCCAUCUGAGCUGCCACGCCAAGAUACAGUUUUUUUCCAGCUCAAUGGAAAAUGUGUCUGAUUCAUCUUCCGAAGAAGACAAAUUCUUUCAAAUCUUCAUAGCCUGAUAAAUUGGGACUGAGAGAGUAACAGCAAUUAGGAACAGAGGAAAGUCUAGUGAAAUUUCACCAAAAGGGUGGUUUUGUGCAAUAAUUUUGAGUGAUCAUCGGUGGCGGAGAAUAACAAGAGAGUGGCAAAACCACCCAUUGAAACUCCCUAAAGCUCUCACCGCCGCCUCAUACUUAAACUAAUGAGAUUUGUGCUAUUUUCAUGUUAAUGCUGCUCUUCUUAUACUGUGCCCUAAUUAAUUGGGCCUUACUUGAAAAGCCCAUCUCGUCGGGUCGAAUUCAAUUGCGCAUAAAUGGGGGAAGAAGAUUAGGGGUUGUAGCCGCUGAUUAUACUCACCAGCAACGACAACACUGAAUUUUCCGGCGGAAACAUAAAAAGAAAAGAUCAUAUUUGUGCAAAUUUCUGUAUGAAAAAAGAACAGUUCCAAAAUAGGAGCAUUGAUGCAAAAUUUCCAGAAGAAAGGGUUGUUUGGAAUUGUUAUUGGAAAAUCAUAGGAUAAUAAUACAGAGAGAAGCAAUCAGCAAACCACCCUUCAAUGAAAGAGCUUCUCUUGCUUUCUUCAAUUCUCAAAAAGAGCUGGUUUUCGAUUGAUCCUCCAUUCAAGUCAAUACGAUAAAAUAUAGGAAAGAAAAGAUAUUUUUGACAAGAUAUACUCAUGAUUUGUCAAACAUUACAUUGUACUGUAUUAUUAUUUUGAUGAAUACAAUAUUAAAAUUAGAAUGCAAUGCACCAACAAUACAAAGAAUAAACUUAUAAUCCUCAAAAAAGAUAACAGGUAGAGUAAUUACAACAAAUGGUAGGUAAAGGGGAUAUUACACGUCAAAGCUCAAGAAAGUACGCUUGUAGGUUAUUGACCUGAGCCCAAAGUAGCUGUUACAAGUCAAAAACUAUGAACUUGGAAAACAAUAAAAAAAAAAAAAAAUCUGCUCUUAAGUCCGAGAUACUGUCGACCUGAGCCCAAAGUAGGAAAAUAACAGACUAGAGCAACGAGUUCAUUAGCCAUACAUAGUUAAGGAGGAGACAUUCCUCAUGCUGCGGUUCGAAAAGGUUUCCCCAAGCAGGUCACUGGGAGCUAAGACAGGUCAAUGCUAGACUGCUUGUCCAACUCAAGACAGAUAAGGGCAGACAGCAAAAUGCGGCAUCCAUUGGCAGAAGAGAUGUGAAAAAUCACUGUAAUUCAGAACAAAACUAAAAACAUAUGAGCAAUAUUUAUAACCAGACAGAAUAUGUAAAUGAGAAAUAGCAAUUCUUUUUGCCAUCUUGAAAAAAAGGGAAAAAUACGAUAGAAGGAAAUUGGGAAUUACUAGUACUUAAUAUAAGUCUCAGAUCAUCAGUUUAUCACAAAUGCCAUGGCUGCAACCUAGAGCAGGUUUCCCUGCCAAGUUACUGAGUCUUAUCAUCUCAAUGCAAACAAAUAUUGCUAUUUGUCAAAAACCAUAUCAUCACAGCCUCGGUUUUUCACUUUUCUUAUUGGAGCGUGAUUCUCGCUGUUUAUGUGUUAAUGCAGCCACAAAGUGGCAAGGCGAGAACCAAUAGCAGCAACAAAUCAACAAUAAUGUGCAUCUUCUGAAUCUAGAGUUGCAAGAAAGAGCUAGCACUGUUAGUUUGCCAGCAAGAUUUCACAUUUCUCAUUGAUGAUGUCUCAUUUCUGAGCAGGCUUUCAAAAGAAAGAUUUUUCCGUCAAACAAUGUCCAGAAGGACUACUUGCAAUUUUGAGGUUCAGAGUUGGUUACUAAUGGGGCAAAGAGAAGGAGAUUGUGCCAUGACAUCAAAAGAACCAGUUGCAUGUGAUAGAUAAGUCUCAAAUCACAUACCAUCAGAGGUUUACCAAGCAUAGAUACAAAUCUACUCGUCUCUAAAACCCAAACAACCUUUUUUUUUUCUAGCCCAGACAAGCAAAUACAAUCACUGCCUCUUUGAGAAAAUGAUAGCAUAUGUUUCAAGGAAUUUAGGGAGCUGCUUUGGACUGAGCUCAUAAAUCAGAAUGAGGUCAAGUACUGCUGGUGCAGUUAAUGCGCUGUUUUAUUUGGUAAUGAAGAAAUGAUGCAAAGGCUUCUGAAACUGGAGGAUCAGAUUAUAUGGUGGCAUUGGGUUCUUUGCACCAGCCAUGGCUGGAAAUCGCAAAAUUUCAGGUUGUCCCGCCAGGACACCAGUCAAAACACUCCAAUGUCCAAUACAAUGAGCUCGGCAAACAUUAUCAUCAUAGCCUCAUUGGUUACCCUUUCCGACUUUAUGAGCGCCCAACCUUUGUUUGCAUUGCAUUGAAACACAUCCAGUGAGGACAAAACUAAGACAACCAAAAUAUUAUAGACAAUACUCGUUAAAAAGGUAAGAGUUUUCUCUUUGUUUAAAAUAAUUUUUUUUUUUGGGGGGGCGGGGGCGGGGGUUGAUUAUGAGAAAUUCGAACAACCAAAAGAGAAACUUUUGAAAUAUAAGCUAAACAUAUGCAAAAGGACUAAAAUUGUCCAAACAAAGGAGAGAUAGAGUAUGUAGCCAAGCUAGAAUCAGCUGGUGAGAACCACAUAGUAGUUUUGGGAGGACACCAAGCCAAUAGGCCCUUUCAACAAGAAAACCAUGCUUAUAGGCAAAAUUUUGGGAGGAAAAAUGCUUCAGUAAAUCCAAGAAUCAGCAACAAGCAAGUUUAGCAAAACAUCUAGGAAAAUACAUAGCAGCAGCAAGAAGCUGAUUAAAUAAAGCAUAAAAUACACAUAGUAAAACAAUUUUUUCAGACAAGUAGUGGUGAUAACAUAGAGCCAAUAGAAGUCUCAUCAAUCAGAGUAACAAUGAAAAAAAGCUUCAUUUGAAUGUUAAUUCAUGGUUUACUUGAAUUACUUAUCAUUUAGGAUGAAUUCCUUCAUGCUGAAGGAGAACAGUAAGAACUAUUGAAGACUCCAAAGAUAUUACAUAUCAUAAACGAGAAGAAUGAGGCUCAGAUCUCUCUAUAAUCAGGUACUUACAUUUCUCAGAAAUGCUAUGGCUGCAACCUAGAGCAGGUUGUCCUGCCAAGUUACUGAGUCUUGUAUCAUAUCAACAAUGCAAACCAAUAUUGCUAUUUGUCAAAAACCAUAUCAUUACUGCCUCAAUUUUUCACAUUUUCUUUAUUUUGAGCAUGAUUAUCACUGUUUAUGUGUUAAUGCAGCCACACAGCAGCAAGGCAAGAACCAAUAGCAGUAAAAGAUAAUUAAUUAUGUGCAUCUUCUCAAGCUAGAGUUACAAGAAAGAGCUAGCCACUGUUACUUUCUUCCAGCAAGAUUUCACAUCUUGGCCUUACCAGCAAAACGGAAUGAAAAAAUAAAUUAUUCACAUUUCUCAUUUAUGGGCUAGCUGUCUAAGAAACGAUUUUUCCAUCAAACAAUGUCCAGAAGGACUACUUGCAAUUUUGACACUCUCAGCUGGCUACUAAUGAAUGGGUCAAAGAGAGAAGCAGACUACGCCAUGGCUGCAAAAGAACCAGUUGCAUGUGAUAGAGGAGUCUCAAAUCACACAUCAUCAUGGGGUUUUGCCAAGCCAAGAUACAGAUCUACUCAUCUAUAAACCCGAACAACCUUUUUUUAAGCCAAGAUAACCAAAUAUUAUCUGCCUCAUUGAUAACUGGUAGCAUAGGAUUCGAGGAAUUUGAAGCGCUUUGGACCUGAGCUCAUAAAUUAGAACGAGGUCCAACUACUACUACUGCUGCUGAUGUCAAUGCUCUCUUUUUUUUCUAAAGUGAAAGAAAGGAAAAGGACUAGAAGAGGGCAGUUGGUUUUGGUAAUGGAGAAAUGAUGCAAGAGGCUCAGAUUAUGUCAUGGGGCUUUGAGUUCUUUGUGCCCAGCCAUAGCUGCAAAUUUCCAGAAAUUCAGAUUGCCCCGCCAAGACACCAGCUACAGAACUCUAAUGCCCGACUCAAUGAGCUCAGCAAAACUAUCAUCAUAGCCUCAUUGUUUCCUCUUGCUGACAUUAUGAACGUGUAACUCUGUUUGCAUUGCAUUGAAACACAGCCAGUGAGGACGAAACUAGGACAACCGAAACAUAUGCACAAUGCAUUAUAGACACAAGAAAUAUGCAUAGGCAUAAACAGCAGUCUAGUUUAAAUUUAAAGCAAAAAUAAGUCACCAGAAUGUCGGAGAUGGUCAUCCACACGGAGAAGUUCAACACAGAGAAAUCACCAGAACGUCCGAGAUGGUCAUCCACACAGAGAAUCAUGUGAUUCUCUCACAGUUUUUUUUAUUUUUAUUUUUAUUUUCUUGUAUAUUUCGAAGGGCUGUUGGUCCUUUUGGUUAUCAAUGGAGAAAUCAUGGGCAGAGUAGAGAGGGACAACCACCCUUUACAGAAAAUCCCAAUCUCUUUGAUGCCUCAUUCUUCUUUCUUUCUAGGUUAUGCUCAGCUGAUACCGAACAAAUAAGAUUAUACAUUAUGACAGCAAGAUGAUUUAUAGCUUGUAGUAGAAAAUCGCAGGUUCAACAUAUCUCAAAAUUGAACCAUGGAAAGAUUCUUUCUCUCUCUUUCUUUUCAAGCAAAUGGGGCUCAGAUGUAUGUUAUGAUAAGGCAAAACAGAAACAAACACCGUUUGCAUGCAAGAGACAGAAGCAGCAAUCACAAGCCAUACCGGGUCACCACACCAAGAUACGGAUUGGAUAAUCUCAAUGCCCAAAUUAGUUAGCCCAGAAAUAGAAACAUCAUCAUCACUGUUUCUUUAUGUACAUUUCAUCAACAGUCAACACCGUAAAACACACACACAGAAAGACAGAGAUCUCAGAGUAUACAUGUUAAAUCCAUUUUGGUUUUUCCAGUUUUUGCUUUUUCUUAAACAAGGGCUGUUGGUUGUUUUAUAAUGGAGAAAAAUCAGUGGCGCAACAGAGAGGGUAAACCACCCUUUACAGAAAAUCCCACUCUCUGUUUUGCCUCAUUUCAGGGCUAACCUUUUCGCAUUUGGGGUAAAUUCUUUGGCUUGACAGCUAAAUCAUCGGCAUAUCUGAGAAGGUCAAACAGCCCAGAAAUCCCCCAAAAUAAGCGGGAACUCACCACCCUCUCUACCUUCACAAGGUAGGGGUAAAGUUGCGUACACACCACCCUCCUUAGACCCCAAUUAUGGGAUUACACUGGGUAUGUUGUUGAUGUGGGUUCCAGCUAAUUUCUUUUUUUUUUCCCACUACUUGCAUCAAAUUAUUUUACAAAGUCUAAAAGUUAACUUUUGAAAAACUUCAAGGACCAAAAUUGUUAAGUGCAUAUUUAAGGGACUAUUUUGGACAUACCCUCAAACAUAAGAGAUUUGUCAUUUUCUCCCUCAUUCUGAAUUCAGAGCUGAAAUUUCAACACAAAACCGCAAUAGGUUUUCCAACCCGGGAAUAGACUCACCAUGGAAGAUCAUUAAAUGGGUUAUUGAAGGCUCAGAUUUGUUGUAUUUCUUAACAAAGAAAAGAGAAGAACGCCGCAGCCAUGGAUGCAGACACCAGUUUGCUAUUCAAAGCCGUAACCGGGUCGCCCAGCUAAGAUACAGGUUUUUCUCAAUGCUAUAAUUGAACAUAGCCCAGAAAGGAAAGUAAGCAAUCAUCAUAGCCCCCUUUACAACAUCAGCAACAGCAACAUAAAGAGACAGAGGAAGAACAAGAAGAGUAUAGAGGUGUGUUUGGAUGACAUUUCUUCAUUUUUUCCCUUUUGUUUAUUUAAAAAGGGCUGUUAAUUUUUGUGGUUAUCAAUGGAAAAAUCACUGGCAAAGCAGAGACGGGCAACCACCCUUUUACAGAAAAUCCCAAUUUCUCUGAUGCCUCAUUCUUCAAAGCUGAAAUUUCAUUUGAGGGCUCAGAUUUGCUAUAUUUGAACAAAGCAAAAGAGAAAAGCGAUGCCGCCAGGGAUGCAGACACCAGUUUGCUAUUCAAAGCUGUAACUGGGUCACCCUGCCAAGAUACAGGAUUUUCUCAAUGCUAUAAUUGAACAUAGCCCAGAAAGGAAAGCAAGCUAUCAUCACAGCCCCUUUACAACAUCAGUAGCAGCAGCAGCACAAAGAGACAGAGGAAGAGCAAGAAGAGUAUAGGGGUGUGUUUGGAGGAAGUAUGUGGAGGAAGCUGAAUUUGGGUGUGUGAGAAAGGACGCAACAGUGUCAUCACUCCUAUAGCUGUGUAUUGCACAGUGCAAACCAUCCCUGUGUUGAAAGACACUCGCCCUUUAGCUUCUGGGAGAAAGACCGCUUGAAGUUUUCUCCUUGGAAACAGAGUAAAAUUCUCAUAAUCGUCAUCUUUAUCAGCAGACAGCAUAAGCAAAGGAACUUGGGGAGAUGAGGCAUCAAAACUUUCUUUAGUAACAGCACUUUGCCAUGAUUUAUACAAAUAGCACCAAAUACAACGAAAUCCUCCGUAACUGUUAAAACCUUUACUAUUGUAACAAGUAGAUCGUAUUUUAGUUCUGACCAAUUCACCAUACCUUCCAUGGUCAAAAGGGGAAAAGAAAACAGCAAAGGAUUUAGCCAUUAUAGAACAAUUAUAAUGAAUUGAGGGACAAGAAUCUGGGAUCCAAAAAUGGCAAGUUUUCUAUAUAUGUCACCCCGAGUUUUGAGUUGAAUUUGGACUUAGAUUCACUAACAGAACCAUCUCUUGCUGCCCUAAACUGGCAACUGGGCUACCAAGAACCAUAUCAUAACUGCCUCAAUUUUCUAGUAUGAUUCUCUCUGUUGGUGUUCACACAGCCAUGCAGCAGCAAGACAAGAGAACCAUCAGUAGCAGAACUGACCGAAUGAACAAAUAAAUAAAUAAAUAAACAAUUCCAAUUUCUCAUUGAUGCCUCAUUUAUGAGCUGGCUUUCAAAAUAAGUGAAAACGGGUUUUCACCAAACAAUGUCCACAACUACUUGCAAUUUGAGGCUCAGAUCUGGGCUAUUAAUGGGGAAAGAGAAAGAGACCACGCCAUGGCUGCAAAUAUCACAUAGCAACAGCGGUUCACCAAGCCAAGAUACGGGUCUGAUUGUCUUUAUCCUGAAGCCAGAUGAGCAAAUAUCAUACUGCCACUUUGAGAAAAUGGCUGCAUAAUUUUCAAGAAAUUAGGAUACUUUGGAUUAAGCCUUAUUAACCAGAUUGAGGUCCAAGUAUUACUACUACUAGCACUGUUAAUGCUUUGCUUUAAACUGAAGGCUCAGAUGUGUAUCUGGGGAAUUGAGUUUUCUGGCACCUGCAAUGGCUGCAACUCACAGAUAUUCAAGUUACCAUGCCAAGAUACAGGCAACAAAAAUCUAAUGCACUAUUAUAUUUAGCUCAGCAGAGUGCAGACGUCAUCAUCACAGCCCAAUUGUUUCCCUUUCCGAGUCCAUUGCUUUGGAACACAGCCAGUGAGGACAAAGCUAAGAUGCUUGAAUUAAUAAGCACAAAUCCACAUGUACACGUACAGAAAUAUACAUAAAAAAGGGUUGUCUGGUUUAGAGCAUAAAGAAAAUCAUUGGCAUGUUGAAGAUGGUAAUUCCCAUUGAGAAUCACUUCCCCAACGCCUCAAUCUGAGUUGAAACGGUUGUGUUGUGGUGGUGUAGUUGGUUAUCACGUCUAACACAUAAAACUGAAGAAUACCAAUUCCAGAGUAACUUUCCAUUGAAGACUAUCAACGGUCGCAUAAAGAGGGUGUUAUUGAUCUCUCUCCGUCAAAGAAGGUCUCGUGUUCGAUUCCCAGCCCCAGGUUGUUAGGAAGGAAUUUGGAAAAUGAGGCUCAGAUCUCAAUUUUCUAUUGGGUUAAAGAGAAGGCGACCAUGCCAUGGAUGCAAAAUAACCGAUUGCAUGUGAAAGAGAAGCCUCAAAUCACAGCCCUUGCUGGUGUUUGCCAAGCCUGAUACAGGUCAGGAUGUCUCUAUGCCCAAAUGGAAAUGAGGACGGAAUUUAAAGUGGCCUCAAAAAAGACCAUGUUUGUAAAUGCCGAUAAACAAUUAUCAUCACGGCCUCUUUCAGAAAAUGUUUACUCUUCCAUAGAUUUCAAGAAAUUGUAAAAAUUUUGGACUAAAGAAUCCAAUAACGCCUGACGGCGAAGGCGCCAGAUAUUUGCUUUCUUGGGUUUCUUCGAGCAAAGGAAGAAUAAGAGGGUUGUUAGUUUUGUUAAUUGAGAAAUCAUAGGCCAAACAGAGGGAACACCGCCCUCCUAGAAGUCCCUCUUACCCCUGUUGGCCUCAUUUUCCUUCUGGGCUCAAUCUCCAUUGUUACUUUUGUCGAGGAAAAAGCUUGUAGCUAUACAAUGUACUAAUAUCUAGAUUCUCUUUUAGCCCGUCUGGCAGAAAUGUACCAUGCUAUUGUUUUGUGGCUAUUUCGCUCGGAUUCUUCAAAAACAUCGAAGUGUGCGUGUCGGAUACUCCAAAAAUAGUGUAUUUUUGGAGAAUCCAACAUGAGUGCGGCGACAUUUUUGGAGAGUCCGAGCAACAUAAGUUUGUGGUGACAUGCAACAAUUGAGAUGAUUUUUUAUACUUCUCAGGUAAUAAAAUAUGAUGGAUAUCUUUUACUUUAAUAUAUAAAGAUAAGUUGUAUAUAUAAACCUCACUUACAGUGAAUUUCUGCAAUUACACUUGCCGGUCACCAAAUAGCCACGUGGAAACCUACAGUAGAAUUAAGCACGAACUAUAUGAUACAAGCUGCAAUUACUGCUGUAAAUAUUUUUAACGAAAGAUCUAUUAGAUAAAUUAAAUAUUUUGACAACACAUUUGUAAUGAAACUUUGAGCAAUGACAUGAUUGAACAUAGACCAGAAAGGAAGCAAGCAAUCAUCACAACCCCUUUACAACAUCAUCAGCAACAGCAGCACAAAGAGACAGUGAAAGAGUAAAGGGUGUCUUUGGAUGAAGCUCGCAAUUUGUUUUUCUUUUUUCUUUCUUGUUUAUUUUAAAGGGCUAGUGGUUUUUUUGGUAAUCAAUGGUGAAAUCACUGGCAAAGCAGAGAUGGGCAACCAUCCUUUACAGAAAAUCCAAGUUUCUCCGACGGCUCAUUAUUCAGCGCAAACCCGUAACGGGUUCUCCGACCCGAAUGCGUUAUUGAAGGCUCAGAUUUGCUGAAUUCGAACAAAGCAAAAGAGAAGAGCGCCACCGCCAUGGCUGCAGACACCAGUUUGCUAUUCAAAACCGAACUGGAUCGCCCUGCCAAGAUACGGGUCAGAUCUUCUCUAAAUGCCAUGAUUGAACAUAGCCCAGAAAGGAAGCAAGCAAUCAUCACAGCCAUUUACAGCAAUAGUAACAGCAGCAGCACAAUGAGACAGAGGAAGAGCAAGAAGAAUAUAGAGGGGGUGUUUGGAAUUUGGAUGAAGUUUUUUCAAUUUGCUUUCUUUUUGUUUAUUUGAAAGGGUUGUUGGGUUUUUUGGUCCAUUAAUGGAGAAGUCACUGGCACAGCAGAGAUGGGCAACCACCCUUCACAGAAAAUCCCAAUUUCUCCAACGCCUCAUUCUUCAGAGCUGAAAUUUCAAAGCAAACCAAAAAUGGAUUUUCCUACCCGAAUGGGUUAUUGAGGGCUCAGAUUUGCUGUAUUUGAACAAAGCAAAAGAGAAGAGCGACACCACCAUGGCUGCAGACACCAGUUUUCUAUUCAAAGCCCUAACCAGGUUGCCCUGCCAAGAUACGGGUCGGAUAUUUUCUCAAUUGCCAUGGUUGAACAUAGCCCAGAAACUAAGCAAUCAAUCAUCAUAGCCCCUUCUAAACAUUAGCAACACAAAGAGAGGAGAAAGAGGAAGAGGAGUAUAGGACUAUAGGGGUGUGUUCGGUAUGAAGUUUUUAUUGUUGUUGUUGUUUAUUUCAAAGGGCUGUUGGUUUUUUUGGUCCAUUAAUGGAGAAAUCACUGGCAACGCAGAGAUGGGCAACCACCCUUUACAGAAAUCCCAUUCUCCGACGCCUCAUUCUUCUGAGCAGAAAUUUCAUUGGAAAUCCGUAAUGGAUUUUCCUACCCGAAUGGGUUAUUGAGGGGUAAGGCUGCAUAGACACCAUCUUCCCCGACCCCACUUCCGGAUAUGUUGUUGUAGUAAUGGGUUAUUGAGGGCUCAGAUUUGCUGUAUUUGAACAAGAGAAGAGUGACAACGCCAUGGCUGCAGACACCAGUUUGCUCUUCAAAGCCAUAACCAGGUCACCCUGCCAAGAUACGGGUCAGAUAUUUUCUCAAUUGCUAUGAUUGAACAUAACCCAGAAAGGAAGCAAUCAAUCAUCAUUGCCCCUUUACAACAUUAGCAGCACAAAGAGAGGAGAAAGAGGAAGAGCAAGAAGAGUAUAGGGGUGUGUUUGGUAUGAAGGUUUUUUGUUUUUUCUUGUAUAUUUCGAAGGGCUGUUGGUUUUUAUGGUCCAUUAACGGAGAAAUCACUGGCAUAGCAGAGAGGGGCAACCACCCUUUCAGAAAGUCCCAAUUUCUCUGAUGCCUCAUUCUUCUUCCUUUCUAGGCUAUGCUCAACUUGUAGCUUUUGUUUGCCAAGAACAAUAUCAUCACUGCCUCAAUUUCACCUUUUUCUAGUAUGAUUCUCGCUGUUUAGGUGUUCAUGCAGCCAUGCAGCAGCAAAAAAUCGUGGGCUUACUAGCAAAACUGAAUGAAUGAAUAAUAAAUAAAUAGUUUGCGUUUCUCAUGAUGCCUCAUUGAGCUGGCUUUCAAAAUAAGUGAAAUGGAUUUCGUUUCCACCAAACAAAUGUCCAGGACUACUUGCAAAUUUGAGGCUCAGAUCUGACCUAUCAAUGGGGAACAGAGAAAGAGACCACGCUGCAGCUGCAAAAGUACCGGUUGCAUGUGAAAGAGAAGCCUUAAAUCACAUAGCAACUGGGGUUUGCCAAGGCAAGAUACGGGUCUGAUUGUCUUUAUUCCCAAAGCCCAGAUAAGCAAAUAUUAUCACUGCCACUUUGAGAAAAUGGUUGCAUAAUUUUCAAGAUAUUAGGAUACUUAGAAAUUAGAAUUAAGCUCAUAAAUCAGACUGAGGGUCCAAGUACUACUAUUACUAUGUUAAUGCUUUGCUCUCAACUGGAGGCUCAGAUUUGUAUCUGGAGCACUGAAAUUUCUGGAAACCUGUCAUGCCUGCAAACAAAUCACAGAAAUUCAAGUUGUCAUGCCAAGAUACGGUUACAAAAAUCUAAUGCCUGUUGUUAAUUAGCUCAGCCCUGUUAUUUCCCCUUUUUGAGUUCAUUGCUUUGGAACAGCCAGUUCAGACAAAUUACGACAACUGAAACAUACAAAUCUAAAUAUACUUAUAUGCAGAAACAUUACAAAAAAGGUUGCCUGGUUUAGAGUAAAAAGAAAGCACCUGCAUGUCGAAGAUGGUCAUCCACUCUGAGAAUCAUCUGAUCCCCCAAAGCCUCAUCCAUUGAGCAGAAACGACGUGGUGGUAGUUGGUUAUCACGUCAGUCUAACACAUAAAACUGAAGAAUCCCAAAUCCAGAGAGCAACCUUCCAUUGAAGACUAAUCAAUGGUUGCAUUAAAGGGAUGUUGUUAUCUCCUGUGAAAAGAAUUCCACAGACUUGCAACAUCAAGAGAAGGGAAAAUCCAACUUCUCUUUGAAACAAGGCAAAAUGAGUUUCCAUUAAAGAAGGUUGCGUGUUCGAUUCCCCAGCAGGUCGUCAAAAAGAAAUUUAGAAAAUGAGGCUCAGAUCUCAGUUUCUCAGUUUCUGAUGGGGCAACCAAGCCAUGGCUGCAAUAGAACCAAUUGCAUGUGAAGAGAAACCUCAAAUCACAGACCAUUCCGGUGUUUGCCAAGCCAAGAUACGGGCGGGAUGCCCCAAUGCUCGGAUGGAAAUGAGGACAAAUUUAAAUAGCGACCUUAGAAAAGGUCGCAAAUGGCCCCAUGAACAAGUAUCAUCACUGCCUCUUUCAGGAAAUGGCAUAAAUGAGCCUUUUCUCAAAGCUCGGUGGCAUAUUUGAGCCUUUUCCUAUUAAAAAAAUGAUUUAAUAAAUGACAUGGCUGAAUCAUAAUUGACCACAUGUAAUAAAUGGUUUUGCAAAACCGAAACUUUUUUCAAUUAACAAAUAAUGGCAUGGAUGAGCCUUUUCUCAAACGGAAAUGGUAUAGAUGAGCCAAACUUUUAAUGGAUGGCAUAAAUGAGCCUUUUCUCAAAGUUCAAUGGCAUAUUUGAUCCUUCUCCCUUUUUUAAAAAGAGAAAGCUACCACGCCAUGGCUGCAAAAUCACCGGUUGCAUGCAAAAAAGAGAGCCUCAAUUGCAUGCCAUCCUGGGAUUUGCCAGGCCAGGAUAUGGAUUGGAUCAUCUUCAGAGCCCGAAUUUGUUAACCCAUAGAGUGACAUUAUAAUCAUCAUUGAGAUAUAUGUCACCUGAAAAAUUCACAACUUUUCUCCUCAUAGAAUACAAUGGUAACUAAUUGUUGAUUUCAUCAUGAAAAAUAUUUCUACCAUACCAAAGACACAUUAAGAGUAAAACUUAGGCUUGGAUCUGUCGAUAAGACAAGAGAAUGAAGACAACCUCAUGGCUGCAAACACCGGUUGCAUGACACAAAAUCACAAGUUUUCCGGAUUGCCUCACCAAGAUUCGAUCACUCUAUUUUCUUUGCCCUAUUGAGUUGCUCAAAAAAAGAAACGAAAAAAAUUAUCAACAUAGCCUUCAAUACUCAACAAUCCCUAAUAAUAGUUUCCCAAUUGAUAGAGAAAGUGAAGCUCAGAUCUGUGUUAAGCUCGGACAACAAGAGAAUCCAACAACAUCAUGGCUGCAACAACCACCAGAAAGUCUGGGAGCAUGCCCCGCAAAGAUACGGGCCAGAUGGUCUCAAAUACCUGAUUAUUCAGCUCAGAAGGAAAUUAAAAAUUGACAAAAUCAUCACUGCCUCUUUCAAGCCACCGGUUAUACUCAACCACACAGCUUCCAACACCAGCACUCAAUGCUCCGGCAGAAGCAUUAGAGAAAAGAGAUGGCAUAGCAUGAAAGGGUAUAGAAACCAUUUGUAAUGAUAUGUAAACAACCAUCCAAACAAACUGUUAAUAUUACUCCCUUCAUUAAAAUUGAUAAAAGGGUUGUUGGGGACCUGGGGUUCUUACAGUAAUGGAGAAAUCAUUGUCUGAUGCAGAGAGAGGCAACCACCCUUUCAACGAAAAAUCCCUAAACUCUCUGUAGCCUCGUUCUUUCGCUUUGGAGCUUUUGUUUUGUUCAUUUAACUAAACCGAUGGAGAAAGUGAGGCUCAGAUCUUUGAUAAGCUCGGGCAACAAGAGAGUCCAACAACGCCAUGGCUGCAAAAACCAGCAGAAAAUCUGGGAGCAUGCCUGCCAAGAUACGGGUAGGAUAACCUCAAAUGCCCUAUUAUCAGCUCAGAAGGGAAUAAAAAUCUGACAAAAGUCAUCAUUGCCUCUUUAAAGCCACCGAUUAUACUCACCAGCAUCAGUUCCACCAGCAACAUCCAAUGCACCGGCGGAAGCAUUGAAAAAAGAAGAAAAAAAAAGAGUUGAAGGGCAUAGAAACCCUUUGAAACUAUAUGUAACAACAAUCCAAACGAGCAUUUAAUUAAAUACUCCCUCCAUUUGAAAUUGAUAAAAGGGCCAUCACGCCCGAAAAAACAAUACACACAAACAUAGGUGAACGACCGUAUAUAUGACCUAAAUCCUCUCUGCUUCUGCUUUUUCGAGAGCUGUUGGUUGUUUGAAAAUGGAGGACAAUCAAUGGCGCAACAGAGAGGGGCAACCACCCUUCAAAGAAAAAUCCAAAUACUCUCUGUUUUGCCUCAUUUUUAUUUUUUCACCUUCGAGUUUCCCAUCUCUCCAAUGCCUCACUCUUCAGAGAUAAACCCGUAAUGGGUUUUUCCACCUGAGAAGACUCAACACCGAAAACCAUGAAAUGGGUUAUUGAGGGCUCAAAUUUGCUGUAUUUGAACAAAGCAAAAGAGAACAGCGACGACGUCAUGGCUGCAGACACCGGUUUGCUAUUCAAAGCUGUACUGAGUUGCCCUACCAAGAUACGGGUCAGAUAUUCUCUAGAUGCCAUGAUUGAACAUAGCCUAGAAAGGAAGGAAGCAAUCAUCACAGCCCCUUUACAACAUCAGCAGCACAAAGAGACAGAGGACGAGCAAGAAGAGUAUAGGGGUUUGUUCGAAUGAGGUUUUUUCAAUUGUUUUCUUCUUCUUUUUCUUUUUGUUUAUUUCAAAGGGCUGUUGGUUUUUUUGGUUAUCAAUGACGAAAGCACUGGCAAAGCAGAGAUGGGCAACCACCCUUACACAAAAUCCCAAUUUCUCUGAUGCCUCAUUCUUCAGAGCUGAAAUUUCAGAGCAAACCCGUAAUAGGUUUUUCGUCCCAAAUGGGUUAUUGAAGGCUUAGAUUUGUUGUAUUUGAAUAAAGCAAAAGAGAAGAUCGACGCUGCCAUGGCUGCAGACAUCAGUUUGCUAUUCAAAACCGUAACAUGGUCGCCCUGCCAAGAUACGGGUCGGAGAUUUUCUCAAUUGCCAUGAUUGAACAUAGCCUAGAAAGGUGGAAAGCAUAUGCCAGCCACCCCCAUCCAAAUGAUUUUAAAUAAAUACUCUCUCCGGCUAGAAAGGUGGAAAGCAUAUGCCAGCCACCCCCAUCCAAAUGAUAGAAAAUAAAUACUCUCUCCGGUUCAACUUGUUUGUCUUCCCUUUUUGGUUUGUUCCAAAAAGAAUGUCUCUUUACUUUUUUGGCAACACUUAAUUCUAACUUUCCACAUGACAUCUUUAAAACCACAAUAUUAAAGGGCACCUUAAGUUUAAGAUAUCCGGGUUUCCCCGCUAAGAUACGGAUCCAAUUGCUCUCCCGCACUAUUGAUUUUCUCAAAGAAAGAAGAAAAUCGACAUCACAGCCUCAGAAUUUUCGCAACAAUUAUUAUUAUUAUAACUGGGUGUGAGAAUUUGGAGAGAACAAGCAAAGACUUAAGGGUCAUUUGGUCGCUGUUUAGCUGCAACAAGAGCUGUUGAAUUUUUCUUUUUUCACAGCAACACUGAAAUCACAGGUAUUGCAGAGAGGAGUGACAGCCCUUUGAACUUCCUCUCUGCUCUCUGCAACCCUCAUUCUUCGUCUCUGAACUUUUACUUUUCUAGGCUAAGCUUUUUACCUUUUAUGGGAAAUUCUCAUAUGUGUUUCGACCUGCGAAUUUCCCAACUGCAACAACAACAACCCAGUAUAAUUUGACCUCCACCUUGUGGAGGUCAAGAAGCGAUUUUCAAUAGACCCUAAGCAAAUCAAACAUUGAGGCUCAGAUUUGUAAUACUGACGAUCCGGCAAGAUACACUGGAAUCAUCGCCAUGCCUGCAAGCACCGGUUGCAGGGUAACCUGUCAUCUGGAUUGCCACGCCAAGAUACAGGUACAAUCUCUUUCCUGCACUAUCGAUUUGCUCAGAGGAAGAAGAAAAUCAUCAUCAUAGCCUCGGAAUUUUCGCCAAUUAUUAUUAUUAUGACUACUAUUGAGUCUCACUUUGGGGUUGAGAGUUUCGAGAGAACAAGCAAAGAUUAAGGGGUCGUUUGGUAGUUGUUUAACUGAAAAGGGCUGUUGAAUUCAUGUUUUUUCAUAGCAAAAAUUGUAAUCACAGGUAUUGCAGAGCGGAGAAACAGCCCUUUGAAAUGUUCCCCUCUACUCUCUGCAACCCUCAUUCUUCGUCUCUAAGCUAAGCUUUUUUUCCUUGAACGGAGAAAUUCUCAUGAGUUCUUCGACCUGCGAAUUUCGCAGCUGAAACAACGACGACAACCCAGCAUAAUCUAACUCCUACUUUGUGGAGGUAACAAGAUUGUUUCCGAUACUCUAUCAGCAAAUGAAACAUUGAGGCUCAGAUUUGUUAUACUUACAACAUGGCAAGAGAGACUGGAAUCACCGCCAGGGCAGCAAGCACCGAUUGCAAGGUAACCUGAAAUCCAGGUUGCCCCCGCCAAGAUAUGGGUCCGAUUUCUUUCCUGCGCUAUCGAUUUGCUCAGGGAAAGAAGAAAAUCAUCAUCAUAGCCUCAGAAUUUUUGCAACAAUUAUUAUUAUUAUCAUUACUACUACUAUUGAUUCUCACUUUGGGGUUGAGAAUUUCGAGAGAACAAGCAAAGAUUUAGGGGUCAUUUGGUAGUUGUUCAACUGAAAAGGGCUGUUGAAUUUAUAUUUUUUCACAGCAAAAAUUGAAAUCACAGGUAUUGCAAAGAGGAGCAACAGCCCUUUGAAGUGUUCCCCUCUGCUCUCUGCAAUCCUCAUUAUUUGUCUCUGAGCUAAGCUUUUUUCCUUUAACGGACAAACUCGCAGACGCAACAACAAUAACAACAACAACAAAACCCAGUGUAAUCUCACUCCAAAGAUUGUUUCAGACACACUUUCAGCAAAUGAAACAAUGAGGCUCAGAUCUGUAGUACUUACAACACGGCAAGAGAGACUGGAAUCACCGCCAUGGCUGCAAGCACCAGUUCUGAUAUACUUCCAUCCGGGUUGCCUCGCCAAGAUACGGGUCCAAUUGCUCUCCCGCAUUGUCCAUUUGCUCAGAGAAAGAAGAAAAUCAUCAUCACAGCCUCAUAAUUUUCCCAUCAAUUAUUACUACUACUACUACUAUUGAUUAUCCCUUUGGAUUUGAGAAAUUGGAGAGAACAAGCAUAUUGCUGUUUAACAGCAAAAGGGCUAGUAAAGAUUCUUUUUUUCACAGCAAAAAUGAAAUCACAGGUAUUGCAGAGAGGAGCAACAUUCCCUUCAGAACUUUUUGCUUUGUUUCUCAACUCAAACAUUUUCCUACAUACGGAACACACCCUAAAUAUAACAAAAAAAAAAGCCAAGCUGAAUAGAGAAAAAUCGAGGCUCAGAUUUGUGUUAAGCUCGGGAAACAAGAGAGUCCAACAACGCCAUGGCUGCAAAAACCACCAGAAAAUCUGGGAGCAUGCCCCGCCAAGAUACAGUUUGGAUAACCUCAAAUGCCCAAUUAAUCAGAGCUCAGAAAGGAAUAAACAUUGGCAAAAAUCAUCAUUGCCUUUUUUAAGCCAUCCGAUUAUACUCAGCACCAUCGCUUCCACCAGCAACAAUCAAUGCUCCGGCAGAAGCAUUAGAGAAAAGAGAAUGCACUGUAUGGUCACAGCAUGGAAGUAUAGGUUAGAUUGAUAUGGUAUAUAUAUAUAUGUGUGUGUGUGUGUGUGUGUGUGUCUAAUUAGGUAGUUUUUCCUAAAAUUUAUAAAACGGUUGUUGGGGUUCUUACAUCAAGAGAGAAAAAAUUAGCUGAUGCAGAGAGUGGCAACCAACCUUACAAUGAAAAAUCCUCAACUCUCUGUAGCCUCAUUCUUUCCCUACUGAGAUUUUUGACAUUUGUUUCUCAACUCUUGAAAACAUUUUCUUUCAUAUCAAACACACCCUUGAUAUUAAACAAAAAAAAAAAAACCCAAAGCUGAAUAGAGAAAAAUUGAGACUCAGAUCUGUGUUAAGCUUGGGCAAAAGGAGAGUCCAACCAUGCCAUGGCUGCAAAAACCACAAGAAAAACUGGUGGCCCACCAAGAUACGGGUCUGAUAACCUCAAAUGCCCAAUUAAUCAGCUCAGCUUGGGCAAAAGGAGAGUCCAACCAUGCCAUGGCUGCAAAAACCACCAGAAAAGCUGGUGGCAUGCCCCGCCAAGAUACAGGUCUGAUAAUCUCAAAUGCCCGAUAAAUCAGCUCAUAAGGGAACAAAAAUUGGCAAAAAAUCAUCAUCACCUCUUUCAAGCCAUCCGAUUAUACUCACCAACAUCGCUUCCACUGGCAACAUUCAAUGCUCCGGCGGAAGCAUUAAAAAGGAGUUGAAAAAAAGAGUUGAAGGACAUAGAAACCCUUAAAACAAUAUGUAACAACAAUCCAAACUAGCUGUUAUUUAUGUACUCCCUCCGUUUAAAAUAGAUAAAAGGGUUGUUGGGAUCCUUACAGUAAUGGAGAAAUCAUUGGCUGAAUGUUGAGAGAGGCAACCACCCUUUCAAUGAAAAAUCUUCAACUCUUUGUAGCAUCAUUCAUUCCCUUCUGAGCUUUUUGUUUUGUGUAUCUCAACUCUCGAUAACAUAUUCCUUCAUACCAAACAUACCCUAAAUAUAACAAAAAAAGGCAAGUUGAACAGAGAAAAAUUUGAGGCUCAGAUUUGUGUUAAGCUCAGGCAACAAGAGAUUCCAACCACGCCAUGGCUGCAAAAGCCACCAGAAAAUCUGGGAGCAUGCCCCGCCAAGAUACGGGUGGUCAGAUAACAUCAAAUGCCCAAUUAAUCAGCACAGAAGGGAAUAAAAAUUGGCAAAAAUCAUCAUCGCCUCUUUCAAGCCGUCCGAUUAUACUCAGCACCAUUGCUUCCACCAGCUCCACCGGCAACAAUCAAUGCUCCGGCAGAAGCAUUAGAAAAAAGAAAAAAAAAAGAGUUGAAAGGCAAAGAAACCCAUUUCAAACAAAAGUUGUUAAUUAUAUACUUCCUCUGUUUAAAAUCGAUAAAAAGGCUGUUGGGAUUGUUACAGUAAUGGGGAAAUCACUGGCUGAAAGCAGAGAGAGGCAACCACCCUUCCAAUGAAAAAUCCUCAAACUCACUGUUAGCCUCAUUCUUUUCCUUCUAAGCUUUUGUUUAUAGUACCCUGAAGCUGUUAACAAUACUCCCUCAGUUAAAAUUAACAAAGAGACCGCUAAAUUGAGGCUCAGAUCUGUGUUAAGAUCGAGCAAAAAGAGAGUCAACCACGCCAUGGCUGCAUAAACCAGCAUGCCCCACCAAGAUACGGGUCGGAUAACCUUAAAUGCUCAAUUAAUCAGCUUAGAAGGGAAUAAAAUUGACAAAGAUCAUCAUCGCCUCUUUCAAACCGUCCGAUUAUACUCACCACCAUAGCUUCCACCAGCUCCACCGGCAACAUUCAAUGCUCCGGCAGAAGCAUUAAAAAGGAGUUGAAAAGAAAGGCUGAAGGGCAUAAAAACCUCUGAAACAAUAUGUAACAACAAUCCAAACAAGCUGUAAUAUAUAUACUCCCUCCGUUUAAAAUUGAUAAAAGGAUUGUUGGGAUCCUUACAGUAAUGGAGAAAUCAUUGGCUGAAUGUUGAGAGAGGCAACCACCCUUGCAAUGAAAAAUCCUCAACUCUUUGUAGCCUCAUUCAUUCCCUUCUGAGCUUUUUGUUUUUUGUAUCUCAACUCUCGAUAACAUUUUCCUUCAUACCAAACACACCCUAAAUAUAACAAAAAAAGCCAAGCUGAACAGAGAAAAAUUUGAGGCUCAGAUUUGGGUUAAGCUCAGGCAACAAGAGAUUCCAACCAGGCCAUGGCUGCAAAAGCCACCAGAAAAUCUGGGAGCAUGCCCCGCCAAUAUACGGGUUGGAUAACCUCAAAUGCCUGAUUAAUCAGCUCAGAAGGGAACAAACAUUGGCAAAAAUCAUCAUUGCCUCUUUCAAGCUGUCCAAUUAUUCUCAGCACCAUUGCUUCCACCAGCUCCAGUGGCAACAAUCAAUGAUCCGGCGGAACCAUUAAAAAGGAGUUUAAAAAAAGAGUUGGAAGGGCAUAUAGAAACCCAUUUCAAACAAAAGUUGAUAAUCAUAUACUUCCUCUGUUUAAAAUUGAUAAGGGGUUGUUGGGAUUCUUACAAUAAUGGAGAAAUCAUUGACUGACUGCAGUGAGAGGCAACCACCCUUUCAACGAAAAUCCUCAAACUCCCUGUUAGCCUCAUUCUUAUAGUACCCUGAAGCUGGUAAUACUACUCCCUCAGUUUAAAAUUGACGAAGAGACCAGUGCAUUGAGGCUCAGAUCUGUGUUAAACUAGAGUAUAAAGAGAGUCCAACCACGCCAUGGCUGCAAAAAACAGCAUGCCCCGCCAAGAUACGGGUCGGAUAACCUCCAAUGCUCAAUUAAUCAGCUCAGAAGGGAAUAAAGUUACAAGAAUCAUCAUCGCCUCUUCCAAGCCAUCCGAAGCAAUAUAAGCAACUGUUAGAAAAAUUAUAGGAAAUAUAAUUGAAGAAGAAAAUGGCUUUAAGGCAUGAAGAAUCGCUUUCCUUAAAGAGAUAUUGCCCGUAUACAUAUUGGGAAAAAUACAAGCAAUUGCCUUCAAGAUACAACAAAGUCCUUGUAUAUACAUGCAUAUUUUUCUUUUUGGGCUACUUCUAGAGAGUCCUUAUAUUUAUAAAACUUAAGAGAUCGACUUUUCAUAAUAGUCAUGUUUUUUCAUAGUCAUGAAGCAUAAAAUCAACUAGUGAAACUUCUUCUUAAGUAGUCUUGACAAUAGAGGUCAUCUAUCAGAGUAACUAUGACAGAAAGCUUCAUUUGG